AUUGCUUCUGUGGACAGGUGUCUUUUAUACAGGUAACAAGCUGAGAUUAGGAACACUCCCUUUAAGAGAGUGCUACUAAUCUAAUCUCAGCUUGUUACCUGUAUAAAAGACACCUGGGAGCCAGAAA